GCUGACUUUGGCAUGGCUAGACAUGUGAAGUUUCUAAAUGAUUUCCAUAAUUAAUUCCACUUAACAUUUCUCUUAUUCCACAAGACUUUUCUGAUCUCCUUUUAAUUGAAUCCAGAUGACAACUUGUUCUUGAUGCUUUCUUUUAAAGGAAGUGCUUACUGGAUGGCACGAGAUGUACCCUUUCCAGUCAUGUUUUCUUUCUUUACGUUCAUAAUGUCAAUAUUUUUCUGAAUCCUGUAAGUUCAUAUAUCUAUUAAGAUUACUUAUAUGCAGGUGAUAGAGAACACUAGUGGCUACAGUCUUGCUGUCGAUAUAUGGAGCUUAGGGUGCACAAUUCUUGAAAUGGCGACUUCAAAACCUCCAUGGAGCCAGUAUGAGGGGGGUAGCUGCAAUAUUUAAGAUUGCACAGAGCAAAAAUUAUCCUGAAAUCCCUAGUCACCUAUCAGAAGAUGCAGAGAGUUCUGUAAAACUAUGCCUGCUGAGGGAUCCAUCAAUACGGGCCCCAGCUUCACAACUGCUAAAACCACCCCUUCAUCGAAAACUAAAGACAGGAAAAACUGCUAGUGCCGAUUUUGUGGACAACCCCUUUCCUUCCCUAACAUGGAGAUAUCCUCCGGUAGUAUUAACAAUGCUUUGAUCUCAUGGCA